rnacentral:rRNA from 1 species
UACGGAGGAUGCAAGCGUUAUCCGGAUUCAUUGGGUUUAAAGGGUGCGCAGGCGGAUUGGUAAGUCAGGGGUGAAAUCCCACAGCUCAACUGUGGAACUGCCUUUGAUACUGUCAGUCUAGAGUAUAGUUGAAGUGGGCGGAAUGUGUCAUGUAGCGGUGAAAUGCUUAGAUAUGACACAGAACACCGAUCGCGAAGGCAGCUCGCUAAGCUAUAACUGACGCUCAUGCACGAAAGCGUGGGGAUCAAACAGGAUUAGAUACCCUGGUAGUCCACGCCGUAAACGAUGAUUACUCGAUGUUGGCGAUACACAGUCAGCGUCUGAGCGAAAGCAAUAAGUAAUCCACCUGGGGAGUACGAUCGCAAGAUUGAA